UGACCAUUUAAGUCAUCAAAUUCUGAGAAGGUUAUGACUUCACCUUUAUCCAAUGGCUUUUGGGUCUUCCAAAAUCAUCAGGUGAAAAUGUUCACAUAAUUAAUAUUCCCUAAUAGCUGCAUAUCAAGCUGUUGUUGAAGAAAGGCAUGGGAAACUGGUUGCUACUAAUAUCUUUGGUCUCCUCCUUCAGGAGUUGAGUUCUAGUAAGUUUGCACCAUAGAGGAAAUAGCUCAUGUUUGCUUUUGUAUUAGAGAAGCACCAAAGACUUAAGUAACAGAGCUGUGUCAAGACAUAGGUAUUUUCUGCCUUUUUGCAUUCAUCUGCAUUGCUGUUCUCAGUUUCUUGAAUGUUUGUGAUGUGUGGAAUUUUAUCAUAACACUCUUAACCCAAACGAUUGUGGACAGAUGACAGAAAGUCGAAAAAGAAGCGUGUCACCUGAAGCACUGGAGAUUUUCAAUUCAACAGAAGGAAAGAUACCAGUGGGGUUCUGGACCUUAUUGAAACACCUGUCUCUCAAGCCUUGAUAACAGAGGAAGGGGCAGAGGUAGCUGGUCAAACAGCAAAACAUGGUGAACAUCACAGAGGUGAGCUAGAAGAGAGAAAUUCUCUAGAAAAUGUAUCUUUUAAUUGAAACUCUAUAUUUAGGCGUGCUCUAAGGUGGCUUUUCAGACUGCAGAAAUAACACGUUUGUACUUUCUGGAGAGUAAGCAUGGGCUCAUCCCAUGAAAACUAGACCAAGGGUCCUCAAACUUUUUAAGCCGAGGGCUGGUUCACAGUCCCCCAGACUGUUGGAGGUCCAGACUAUUGCUUGAAAAAAACAUGAAUGAAUUCUAAUGCACACUGCACAUAUCUUAUUUGUAGUGCAAAAAAACC
rnacentral:lncRNA from 11 species